rnacentral:rRNA from 1 species
UACGAAGGGGGCUAGCGUUGCUCGGAAUCACUGGGCGUAAAGCGCACGUAGGCGGAUUGCUAAGUCAGGGGUGAAAUCCUGGAGCUCAACUCCAGAACUGCCUUUGAUACUGGCGACCUUGAGUCCGGGAGAGGUGAGUGGAAUUCUUGGUGUAGCAGUGAAAUGCGUAGAUAUCAAGAGGAACACCAGUGGCGAAGGCGAGUCCCUGGACAACACCUGACACUGAGGCACGAAAGCCGGGGGAGCAAACAGG